rnacentral:lncRNA from 1 species
CUCUGGCCUGCAAGCUUGGGUCCUGAGCCCCAUGGCCCAAGUACCGGUGUCAGCUCCAUCCUCACCUGCUCCUACUUCCCUGCCCCGCCCCCAGGGCAAAGUUUUAAAAGGACCUGUUCCUGAACAGGUGGCUCUCUCUUACUCUCUCUCUUUUCCUUCUUUGCCCCUACCUCUGCUCUGUCAGGUUUUCCCCACCAAGGAACCCCUCCCCUUGCUCUGGUGUUUGGUGGCAGCCUUCCACGCACCGCCCUCAACAAAGGCGCAGACCCUGGCUUCCCAGGAGCAGGCACAAUCUCCUUUCCGGGUCCCUCCUUGGAGAGCUGGCCACCUGGCGAAGCCUUGCUCUUGCUUAAGGGACUCUGAAGAUGUCCACAGCCGGCUCUCCCAGCCCACAGGGCGCGCCUCCUAGGGGACCCUCAGAGGCAGCGGGCAUGGACAGACCUCACUGCGCCUUGUCCCCUCCUUUAGCCCUAGGAGCGCAGGGCUGGUUGAUCCAGGUCCCGCCGCGCUCGGGAGAAAGACCUAGGCGGUUACAGAAUCCUAAGCCUUCAAGGUAUAAGGCAGAAAACUUGCCCACAGGAGACAGGCUCUGCCAAGGCCACAGACGCGGUCUGGUGGCAGACAGGGGGCUGUUUGGUUUCGAGUCCCGGUCUGGGAAUAGCGAGGUGCAGUGUCUCUCCGAAUACCUUCAUGGUUACCUUUUUAUUGAGUGCCUACUAUGUGCCAGGGAGGGCUGGGGUUUUCCGGGCUAAGGAGCCAGAUUGGGCGGGUGGCCAGGGCAUCGAAGGGUUAAAUUCCGAGCUCACCACGGGGGUGGGGGUAGUGGAGUUUCCCCUAGGAAGAGCCUCCUCCCUCCGGAAACCCGGGCGGGCGCGGAGGGCUUGGGCAGGGCUGCCCUGCUGGCGCGCAGCCUCCCCCGCGCCGCGCAGCCCCCUCGCGCCCCGGGAGCAGCAGCUCUUGGGUUACAACAAAAGGGGGCUGGAGGCCUGGCCUGCGGCGGGGGCCGCCUGCGGGGAAGGGGGGUGGGCCUGGGGAGGGGUUUGCCGCCCCGCUCCGGUUAAAAGUCCGCGGGCGACUGGAGCGCACGGCUUCCUCCCCUCGGGGCUCGCCUUGGCCAGCUCGCUGAGAACUCUGCUUGGCGGCUGCUCUCCGACCCUGGGCUCAGCGGCGACCAGCGCAGAUCGAGGCCAGCGUGGAGAGCGCAACCCGGCCCAGCCACAGCCACCCCGGACACCUGCUGCCAAGCACUAA